GCUGGGAUUUACGAGCUUUGUUAUUUCUUGUAAAAUAUCGUCCGUCUACUGUGUUCAAUUUCUUUUGAGUGUAAAUAUGGUUUUGGUAUAUAUAAAAAAAAAACUAUUUACCAGGAUCUGCUUACCCUUCCGGAGCACCUGAGAUCAUCCCCAGUUUUUGGUGUGGUUCGUAUUGCUUCGUCUGAAGUUUUCUUUAUUGUUUCUUGUGUAUUUUUAUUUGUCUGUUUGUCUUUUUCUUUUUUAGCCAUGGCGUUAUCAGUUUAUUUUCGAUCUAUGUGUUUGACUGUCCCUCUGGUAUCUUUCGCCUCUCUUUUAUCAAUUUUUUUACUAUUCCUACUUUGAUACAUUUAUGCACAAUAAAUGUGAAAACCAAUUUAUGUUUAACAAGGUGCGUCUUAAAUGCCAAAAAUGAUUCAUAACAUAUACUAUUCUU
rnacentral:lncRNA from 1 species